CUUCGCGUGUGACUCCGAACGGUGGAGUUUUCUCCUAAAUCCAUUCAUCUUGCCAAAACUUUUUUCAUAUGAUUGCAGCACUGUUCACAAUAGCAAAGACAUGGAAUCUACUAAAUGCCCAUCAAUGGUAGACUGGAUAAAGAAAAUGUGGUACAUACACACCACGGACAACCAUGCAGCCAUAAAAAAGAAUGAGAUCAUGUCUUUUGCAGAGACAUGGAUGGAGCUGGAGGCCAUCAUCCUUAGCAAACUAGCACAGGAAGAGAAAAUUAAAUACUGCAUGUUCUCGCUUAUAAGUGGGAGCUAAAUGAUGGGAACAUAUGGGCACAUAGAGGGGAACAACAUACACUGGUUCCUAUCAGAGGAUGGAAGGUGGAAGGAGGGAGAGGAUCAGGAGAAAUAACUAAUGGGUACUAGGCUUAAUACCUGGGUGAUGAAAUCAUCUGUACAGCAAACCCCAUGACACAAGUUUACCUAUGUAACAAACCUGCACAUGUACCCCUGAACUGAAAGUAAAAGUUAAAAAAAAAAAGGAAAUGGACUAUUUUUUUAAUCCAGUGAAGUCUCGCUCACUGUUGAGUGAGCUUUUACCUACGUUUCCGCACAUCCGAUCACUGUCAAGGGCCCCCAGUCAUGUUAUGAACGUUGCUCAAAUACUCACCAAUGAAUGACCACGAAAUAAGUGGCGAGGGUAAAACCACAGCAAGAAGGAACAUGAGGAGCAGACUCUUCCUUUUGCCUCUCUCUGGCCAGGUUCCUUAUUUUCUUCGGGUGGAGGACUCAGGCCAGGCGCACCCAGCCACUGGCAGCCUCCGAGAGCCGCGGCGCUGGGUAGGAAGACAGGAAGUGGCGGUGGUGAGCAACGGUAGCUCGACUCGGGCAGCACUCACAGAUUUCACGGAACGUGGACGAGGCUCUCGUCAUGGGCUGACCACAGAGCCACAGCAGCAUGCGUGCUUUGCCCGAGUUACCUGAAACAUCGCGCCCAGGAGCCAGUGACGCACAGGGAGAGUUUCAGCAAGAAUGCUGGGCGGGCAGCACCUGUCCAAGACCUCAUUAAGUGCUUUAUUUCUAUCAGGGCACUUUCAGUGACAGAGAACUUCCGAAAUAAAGCUUUGGUCAUUCCACACCCAACCACCCCCACAAAUAUACGGAAUUAUGUUCUCUACCACUGGAAGAAUGAGGUUGCUUCAGCAAAG
rnacentral:lncRNA from 1 species